ensembl:rRNA 5S_rRNA 5S ribosomal RNA
ACAUAUGGCCAUACUAUCCUGAAUAUGCCCAACCUCCUCUGAUAUCAGAAGCUAAGCAGGGUCAGGCCUGGUUAGUAGUUGGACAGGAGAAAAUGUAACCCUAAAUG